rnacentral:rRNA from 2 species
GCUGGCGGCGUGCCUAAUACAUGCAAGUCGAACGAACUCUGGUAUUGAUUGGUGCUUGCAUCAUGAUUUACAUUUGAGUGAGUGGCGAACUGGUGAGUAACACGUGGGAAACCUGCCCAGAAGCGGGGGAUAACACCUGGAAACAGAUGCUAAUACCGCAUAACAACUUGGACCGCAUGGUCCGAGUUUGAAAGAUGGCUUCGGCUAUCACUUUUGGAUGGUCCCGCGGCGUAUUAGCUAGAUGGUGGGGUAACGGCUCACCAUGGCAAUGAUACGUAGCCGACCUGAGAGGGUAAUCGGCCACAUUGGGACUGAGACACGGCCCAAACUCCUACGGGAGGCAGCAGUAGGGAAUCUUCCACAAUGGACGAAAGUCUGAUGGAGCAACGCCGCGUGAGUGAAGAAGGGUUUCGGCUCGUAAAACUCUGUUGUUAAAGAAGAACAUAUCUGAGAGUAACUGUUCAGGUAUUGACGGUAUUUAACCAGAAAGCCACGGCUAACUACGUGCCAGCAGCCGCGGUAAUACGUAGGUGGCAAGCGUUGUCCGGAUUUAUUGGGCGUAAAGCGAGCGCAGGCGGUUUUUUAAGUCUGAUGUGAAAGCCUUCGGCUCAACCGAAGAAGUGCAUCGGAAACUGGGAAACUUGAGUGCAGAAGAGGACAGUGGAACUCCAUGUGUAGCGGUGAAAUGCGUAGAUAUAUGGAAGAACACCAGUGGCGAAGGCGGCUGUCUGGUCUGUAACUGACGCUGAGGCUCGAAAGUAUGGGUAGCAAACAGGAUUAGAUACCCUGGUAGUCCAUACCGUAAACGAUGAAUGCUAAGUGUUGGAGGGUUUCCGCCCUUCAGUGCUGCAGCUAACGCAUUAAGCAUUCCGCCUGGGGAGUACGGCCGCAAGGCUGAAACUCAAAGGAAUUGACGGGGGCCCGCACAAGCGGUGGAGCAUGUGGUUUAAUUCGAAGCUACGCGAAGAACCUUACCAGGUCUUGACAUACUAUGCAAAUCUAAGAGAUUAGACGUUCCCUUCGGGGACAUGGAUACAGGUGGUGCAUGGUUGUCGUCAGCUCGUGUCGUGAGAUGUUGGGUUAAGUCCCGCAACGAGCGCAACCCUUAUUAUCAGUUGCCAGCAUUAAGUUGGGCACUCUGGUGAGACUGCCGGUGACAAACCGGAGGAAGGUGGGGAUGACGUCAAAUCAUCAUGCCCCUUAUGACCUGGGCUACACACGUGCUACAAUGGAUGGUACAACGAGUUGCGAACUCGCGAGAGUAAGCUAAUCUCUUAAAGCCAUUCUCAGUUCGGAUUGUAGGCUGCAACUCGCCUACAUGAAGUCGGAAUCGCUAGUAAUCGCGGAUCAGCAUGCCGCGGUGAAUACGUUCCCGGGCCUUGUACACACCGCCCGUCACACCAUGAGAGUUUGUAACACCCAAAGUCGGUGGGGUAACCUUUUAGGAACCAGCCGCCUAAGGUGGGACAGAUGAU